GGGCCUAUAGCUCAGCUGGUUGGAGCGCACGCCUGAUAAGCGUGAGGUCGGUGGUUCAAGUCCACCUAGGCCCA
rnacentral:tRNA from 1 species